AGGACUUUAGCUUAGUGUAAAGUUUUUGGGUUGCAUCCAGAAGAUGUGGAGUGAUGUCCGCAAGUCCUA
rnacentral:tRNA from 1 species